rnacentral:rRNA from 1 species
ACCUACGGGGGGCAGCAGUGGGGAAUAUUGCACAAUGGGGGAAACCCUGAUGCAGCGACGCCGCGUGAAGGGAGAAGUAUUUCGGUAUGUAAACUUCUAUCAGCAGGGAAGAAAAUGACGGUACCUGACUAAGAAGCCCCGGCUAAAUACGUGCCAGCAGCCGCGGUAAUACGUAUGGGGCAGGCGUUAUCCGGAUUUACUGGGUGUAAAGGGAGCGCAGGCGGCCUGGCAAGCCUGAUGUGAAAUACCGGGGCCCAACCCCGGGGCUGCAUUGGGAACUGCCAGGCUGGAGUGCCGGAGAGGCA